AUACGGAGGGUGCAAGCGUUACUCGGAAUCACUGGGCGUAAAGCGCGCGCAGGCGGCUAUUUAAGCUGGAUGUGAAAGCCUACGGCUCAACCGUAGAACUGCAUCCAAAACUAUUUAGCUAGAGUGUGGGAGAGGAAGAUGGAAUUAGUUGUGUAGGGGUAAAAUCCGUAGAGGUAACUAGGAAUACCAAAAGCGAAGGCAAUCUUCUGGAACACUUCUGACGCUGAGGCGCGAAAGCGUGGGGAGCAAACAGGAUUAGAAACCCUAGUAGUCC
rnacentral:rRNA from 1 species